rfam:Chlorobi bacterium OLB7 TZ07_CHB004CONTIG000219, whole genome shotgun sequence.
GGCUCCGUAGUUCAGCUGGACAGAACGUCAGUUUCCUAAACUGAAUGUCGCAAGUUCGAGUCUUGCCGGAGCCG